AAACACCUGAGAUUAUCGUUACGCACCAGCGAGAGGGACAUAGAUUUCUUCGUCCGCACCAGCGGAAAUACCGCGGCAGGCUGAUAUCGGCCUGUUACGCAGUGAACGUGUUAAGAUUCUUUUAAAA